rnacentral:rRNA from 1 species
ACGCUGGCGGCAGGCCUAACACAUGCAAGUCGAGCGGUAGCACAGGAGAGCUUGCUCUCUGGGUGACGAGCGGCGGACGGGUGAGUAAUGUCUGGGAAACUGCCUGAUGGAGGGGGAUAACUACUGGAAACGGUAGCUAAUACCGCAUGACCUCGCAAGAGCAAAGUGGGGGACCUUCGGGCCUCACGCCAUCGGAUGUGCCCAGAUGGGAUUAGCUAGUAGGUGGGGUAAUGGCUCACCUAGGCGACGAUCCCUAGCUGGUCUGAGAGGAUGACCAGCCACACUGGAACUGAGACACGGUCCAGACUCCUACGGGAGGCAGCAGUGGGGAAUAUUGCACAAUGGGCGCAAGCCUGAUGCAGCCAUGCCGCGUGUGUGAAGAAGGCCUUAGGUUGUAAAGCACUUUCAGCGAGGAGGAAGGCGUUGUAGUUAAUAGCUGCAGCGAUUGACGUUACUCGCAGAAGAAGCACCGGCUAACUCCGUGCCAGCAGCCGCGGUAAUACGGAGGGUGCAAGCGUUAAUCGGAAUUACUGGGCGUAAAGCGCACGCAGGCGGUUUGUUAAGUCAGAUGUGAAAUCCCCGAGCUUAACUUGGGAACUGCAUUUGAAACUGGCAAGCUAGAGUCUUGUAGAGGGGGGUAGAAUUCCAGGUGUAGCGGUGAAAUGCGUAGAGAUCUGGAGGAAUACCGGUGGCGAAGGCGGCCCCCUGGACAAAGACUGACGCUCAGGUGCGAAAGCGUGGGGAGCAAAC